GACGAACGCUGGCGGCGUGCUUAACACAUGCAAGUCGAACGGAAAGGCCCUGCUUUCGUGGGGUGCUCGAGUGGCGAACGGGUGAGUAACACGUGAGUAACCUGCCCUUGACUUUGGGAUAACUUCAGGAAACUGGGGCUAAUACCGGAUAGGAGCUCCUGCUACAUGGUGGGGGUUGGAAAGUUUCGGCGGUUGGGGAUGGACUCGCGGCUUAUCAGCUUGUUGGUGGGGUAGUGGCUUACCAAGGCUUUGACGGGUAGCCGGCCUGAGAGGGUGACCGGCCACAUUGGGACUGAGAUACGGCCCAGACUCCUACGGGAGGCAGCAGUGGGGAAUAUUGCACAAUGGGCGGAAGCCUGAUGCAGCAACGCCGCGUGCGGGAUGACGGCCUUCGGGUUGUAAACCGCUUUCGCCUGUGACGAAGCGUGAGUGACGGUAAUGGGUAAAGAAGCACCGGCUAACUACGUG
rnacentral:rRNA from 1 species